UCAGGUGCCCUCGAGCGAAGCCAAACCAGAUCCCUUCGCCGCCGCCCUCGCCCCCGCAGCCGCCGCCCUCGCCCCCGCAGCCGCCGCCGAUCCCCUCCCCAUCUUCCUCCCUCAAACGCUACCCCAAUGACAUGAGUGUGCCGCCCCCUGCUUCCACCCGUCUCGCGAUGCGCCGCCGCCCGUCGCGGCCACCCAGGCCACCUCCGUCGCGGCCGCCCCCGCCACCUCCCAUCGCGGCCGCCGCCCCAGCUCCCGCCGCGGCCGCUGCCCUGCGCGCAAAUGACCCCUUCCCCCGCCCCAGCCGCCAUCACAGAUCCCUCCGCCGCCGCCGAUCUAUUUGCUAGAGCCAUAUGACCAUAUGAUCCCUCUACCACCUCAUCUCGUGCUCCUGACAUGCCGAGGGGGGAGAGGAGUAAGAGAGCAGGGACGAGUGCGCAGAGGAGGGAGAUGCCUGCCGUGAAGCUGCCAAGCAAGAAGACAAAGGAGGAGCGAUACUUGCGGAGGCGGCCGAGAUCGGGUACUACAUCUUCUUAGAUCUUCGCUGUCGUCUAGGUCAGGCCUCCCUCAGAUGCCCUGAUCCUCCAUCAUCAGGGAUGCCCUGCACUCUCCUCUCUAUGUCUGCUAGCGGUGGCGGCGGCCGGAAAUAGAGGGGACCAGUGGCAACGUGGAAUGGUACCCAGGGGCGUUCUGGUACAGCGCGAGAGGAAGCAGAUGAAUGUGCCACAUGUGAGAGGGAGAGGUCUGUAAUGGUAUCUGGUGGUGGCCUCUUGAAAAGAACCCAAGAUUCUCACUAAUAUCCUGUAGCUUGCUGUGUUCUUCGGGCUCUCUCAAACGACAAGAAGAUGAGUUACAGCGAAUUAUACGUCUCACCCCAUUGUUUGUACAAUGGUAUCCACUUUGAGUAGUAGUGUUGUGGGUUGUGGCUAACUGGCUAUGUGGAUUUGUCAGUGAUUUUGCUAGCUUUGAUGUGUUUCGGUUGGAUGAAAGGGAGUGUGUCGGUGCAGGUGCGAUGCAUCCGAUUGAGUAUAGGAGGACCGAGGACAUGUGGUGAGGCGUUGUGCCACAGGGCACAACGACAAGGGUGCGCACAAGCUGACCAGCGUCUAGCUCCAUGGCCUCAUCAAUGACAGAACCAGUACAAAUUGGCUUUUUAAAAGAGGAACAAAUGAUCGUCAAUGGUGCACUAAACCAUGAGAGUGCGGCGCCUUCUGUGUUGUGGACAUGGCAUGGGCUGUCUUCUGUUCACUGUUGUGUUCUUGCUGCCAUUCCGCGGUAUAUUGGAGUGUUUCAUCCUAAUAUAUGUCUGGUUACAUGACCACAAAGAGAUAGAAGAAUAUGAUGUAGUCUGGAGCAAAAUGGAGCUCUCCCAUUCGUUUGGAUUCUGAACCGUUCGAUCGAUUUCCCUGGCGCGUAAUGGCCGUCGGAUCUCUUGGUGCGCUGGUACUGGCCGUUCGAUCAAGCCGGCGUUCGAUCCUCGCAGGUCCUGGUCGUUGGAUCACUGGCAAACACUGCUGCAAGCUCCGGUUCGUGCCACCGCCUGUAAUUCUCAUGCCCCACAGAGGGCAUUAUUGUCUUUUCUCAUGCAGACGUAUAAAAGGCAGAAUAUGGAACCCUA